ensembl:snoRNA SNORD61 small nucleolar RNA, C/D box 61
GCAGUGAUGAAGUUGAUCACUUUGAUCAUGUGUGAAAAUAUCCAACAAUACCUCUAAGAAGUUCUGAGCUU